GUGUCAGCAGCCGCGGUAAUACAGAGGGUGCGAGCGUUAAUCGGAGUUACUGGGCGUAAAGGGCGCGUAGGCGGUUUGUUAAGUGAUAUGUGAAAUCCCUGGGCUUAACCUAGGAACUGCAUGUCAUACUGGCGAGCUAGAGUAUUGUAGAGGGUAGUGGAAUUUCCGGUGUAGCGGUGAAAUGCGUAGAGAUCGGAAGGAACACCAGUGGCGAAGGCGGCUACCUGGACAAAUACUGACGCUGAGGCGCGAAAGCGUGGGGAGCAAACAGGAUUAGAUACCCUGGUAGUCC
rnacentral:rRNA from 1 species